UUAAAACCCUGAGCGUCAUAAAAAAAAAGCCUUAAGCAGCUAUGGCUAUAUAAAUGACAUUUACCACUUGUCAGAUCAGCAUCAGAAACAUUAGCUUGAUGUAAAUGCAACGUCUUACGGCUUCAAAACAUUAAAAACUAUAUAGAUAGAUUUUUUAAAGUUACAGGGAGCUGAGGAAACGUGUUAGUACAAAAAGAAGGACUUGGACGAUUGGAGGAAAUUUUGGAGCUUGUGUAAAACUGAGGUUAGCCUACUUAAUAAAUGACUGACUUCUUUAUCUAGUCGGGCAAAAUGGCAAGUCCGAGCAAAAAGC